GUUCCGCGGCAAAAAUAAGGAAGUAAGCGCUAGACAGGGCCUCGUUAGUUUGUUUUUAGACAAGAUGCACAACGGAUACUGUAUGUUGUGUGAUCCAAAUUGUUCAGUUAUUCGUUUUAUUUCGCCCUAGGCUGCACAAUUUAGAGUACCGCGUGGCUUUUUCUUUUCGAAACCUUUAGGUGCUCAAGUUGUAUUAUAUUAUAACUUACAUUUUUUUAACUUAUAAUUGUUGUUUUUUAAGUGUUUUCCAUGCAUGUGAAAGUACUUGAAUUUUUUUAAUGAAUAAAUAUAUUUUAAAAGUAUAAAUUUAAUUAUAUUUUAUAUAAUUUAUAUAUUUAAAUAUAUAUUGAUUAACGUAUAUAUUUUCUGUGUGAGUUUUUUCUUCUUCCUUAUAUUCAGCUCAAAAGCUACAAUACGACCAAAGAUCAAUCCUAAUCAUUUCCCUCAUCUAUGGAGCUAAUUUGGAAAGAGGCUGAUGGAAGUACACAGACAGGAUGUCUCAAAGACAGGGAGACCAGAAAAAAGAACAUAUCCUAACUUUCAUCUCAUGCCAGAUUCAUAGGUCAUACCUGAGAAGGACAUCAAGGCUUUGGGGAGCUUUUAUGAGACACACUGAAGCAAUCAGCAGGGAAAUCCCUCAAGCUUUUCAGCAGUUACCUGAUGUAGGGCCAAAGAACAUGUGUCCAAAUGAACAAAAGCUUCUAUGGACCCCCAGUGUUUGAUUUAGUUGGGGGUUUGGCGCCAUGGCAUCUUUGGUUCUGGGGCUGGACUCCGCUUCGUCCAGGGUGAAAGCUGAUCUGGCAAUCCACAGUGCAAAGUUAAUGUAUUUCCUCAUCGACCAGCACGGAUCAGCUCUAGGCAUGAUGAAGCGAAUAUCCUCUUCUUUUGAGAAACAACAUCUAAAUGACCACAGUGGCUCUCUAAACAAUGCAUGGAGUCAUUCCCAUGGCCGAUGGAGGUUAAAGGCAGUCAUCUGAGGUCAGGCUUUUCUCAAGGGAAUGCAUCUAUCUCUGCCUCUGUCCAUGUGCCAAAGGUGGCAGCUAGAUAUCUCUGCCUCAUAGGGCAGAUGAGGUCUCUCAAUAUAGCACCAUUUGUGCCAGGCUAGAAGAGCCUGGGGUGAGACAGCAAGAAUGUCUCAAUCUAUUCAAAUCAUUUCAAAAUGACACGUCAGGAUGGUUAUGAUAGUUUGAGUUUUUAUAGGAAUAUUGCUGCUUUCACCCUAAUAACAGCUCUGGAUGCACAUGUUUGUGGCGCUAUCGCUUUUGCUUAGCCGCUCAGCUAUGGUAUGCAGCGGUCUGGCGGCCUUGUGUACUGAAAGCACAUGAACUCGCCCACCUUGUGAUCUCAAACAUUUGGGUAUGAGAAAAUAAAAAGCAUACCACAACAGCUUAAUUGGUUGUGUAUAAUGAGAGACAUGUGCCAAGCAUGUGUUUUGGCCUGACCACUCACUUCAAUGAGCACCCACAUGUAGGAUCUUAUAAUCAGUUUAUCUUUUUAAAAUGUAAGAGCAUGUGCAGCCAUUUGUAACUGUGCAAGGCCUCCUUUGUCAUUCGCUUACUGUUAUUUUUAGCUUUUUAUGCUGCUUAAUUUUGAAAACUAAUACUUCAGUCAUUACAUGAUUUUCAGUCAGUAGUUUGUCAAACACAUUUUAAUAAUGAGCAAUAUAAAUGUAAAUGUAAAUAUAAGUGUAAAAAAUGUCAAUCGUUUGUUAAACUAAAAGAAAUACAAUGAAGAAAAAAUGCUGCUGAGUAAAGUACAGAGACCUGUUCUGCUGAACCCUGAAGUGUAAGACAACAGCAGAUCUAGACAGGUGGUGCUGGGGAGGAGGAGGACUAGAGACACAACUGAGCUUCCUCUUGGCGAACCAGAAAAUAAAACUUAGCGUAGAUAGAAAGAAGCUAUUGAUUAGCUACAGAACUGGCAACUAGACAGCCUAUCAGCAUGAAAUCAUCCAUAAAAUCAUGGAGAUCCAUAAUGCAUUGUAUAAAUAGAUUCAGAUUUGAGACUCACAAUUUGCACAAUUUGUGGCUUCUUCCAUCUGCUGCAUCCUUCUCUCUGGCCUGGGCGCUUGAAGGGACUAUCCUGGCCUGACAGCUGUAUAACAGGUGCUGCUCUCGUCUGGACUGCGGGUCCGGCAACUCAUGUCUCUGGCCGCAUAGGAGUCCCUCUAUGCACCCUUCCUGGACCCACAAGGACACCAGCGUCCAUGCACGGUGAAGAGACUGGUCUCCCGCAGAAAGGCGCACUCAGCAUUUAAACAGCGGCGGUGAUGAGGCUCCAUUUGCAUCAGGUGUGCCUCAUCACAGGCCCUGGUUAUUUUAGCGCCCCUCCUCUCUCACGCACCCACUCCUGUCGGGAGCCUGGUGAAGGGGGGCAAUUAAGGGAUGGGAUGGUGAUGAUAAUUAUGGGGGAGGCAACCAACUUGUAACAACCCCCCCCCCACACACACACACACAAGUGAUAUCCCCUUCAUCAGGUCGCCACCCAUAUGGGAGUGCUACCUUCCUCAACCAUGUUCCAAACGGUCGGAGUGUGCGGGGCAGGGGUUUCCUCUCUGGGCAGUUCUCCCUCUCUCACCACGCCAGAAUAGGGACUGAGAAACUGGGUUUUAGGCAACAGCCUCAACCAACCACAGGGUAAAAUCCCAAUGGAAGACACAUCACUAACCCCUAUUGUGGCUGGGAGGCCAUCUCCAUCGUUCCUCUGUUCCAGUCAAGGUUUUCGCUAACUUUUGCGAGCGAGAGGGAAUGACGUCAUCAGGUGUUGCCCAACUGUGCUGUCUAGGCUCCCCCUUGCCCGCAUUCUCCACCACUGUGGCGGGAGAAGCAAACGACAUACACAGUGGGGGUGGCACCAGGCCUCGGAAAGGCUUUUAUUAACGGAAAAUAACAAAACAAAAAAAGAGAAAUAAAGUGUCCGUAAGGGAAGAGUGUCCAAAAUAAACAGGGAAUCUGGUGUCCUCGUCGUGCUGCGGGGUAGUGUUCAAGAUGGAAGGGUCCAGAUAAGGGGCGCAUUCCGGUGGCCACACGUGUUCCCCUCUUUGGUCUGGGGUGUGAGGGACGGCAGAUUCUUCCAGCAGCUGCAUCAUGCUCGCUGGCUGCUGCACUUUAAGGAAGUAGACGGCCCAGCAUCCUGGCCCGACGGCCGUGUAAUGGGUGCGGUUCUCGUCCGGACAGCGGGUCCAGCAGCUCACGUUUCUGGUGGUGCAGGAGUCCCUCUACGCACCCUUCUGGACCCAUGAGGACACCAGCGUGCAUGCAUGGGGAAGAGACUGGUCUCCAGAGGAGAGGCGCGCUAGGCAUUUAAACACGCCGCCAGCCCAGGCUCUUACAGCGCCCCUCCUCUCGCAUACACCCACUCCUGUCGGGAGCCUGGUGAAGGGUGGACGAAGGGUGGCGAAGGGGGACAGGGUGAUGAUUAUAAUUAGGGGGAAGGAGCCGACUCGUCACAUAUGGCUUUGCAUCUCUUUUGCUUCUUAUGAUUGUCGCAUUUCAGCAUAAGCUCCUCCAGCAACAAAGUAUGUAGGUCUACUACUGUACUUGAUUUCCUUUAUUGUUUGGAUCAGUGAGCAUUGCUGCCUGUGAAAAAAAUAAUAUUGGGAUUAAGCUUGUUAAGGGCCAGAAAAAUUGGAUUUACACGAACCAACUGAGUAAACAAAGUCAUUUUCUUAUAACUUAUAUAGCCUGUUUAUUGUUUUACUGCUCAAGUCCCAAUUAAGAUUUAAUGAAAUUGCCAGGCUUUCUUCAUCUUCUUCUAAUGACAUGGUUUGAAAAUACAGGAGAGCUUACCAGUUUUGUUUUGGGGAAAUUAUAUCCAGGCUUUUACGCUAACAAUGAUAGAAUUAGUGCUGAAUGACUACCACUUCGUUGGGUGAUGUGAGCACAGGAUGUGUGCACUGACAGAUCUGAGCGGACACACAUGCCUUGAGGCUUGCAGGAAAUGCUGGCUAUUGGUCAAAUGUUACUGACAUCAUCACAUACGAGAGAUGUGUCAAAACAAGUGGACUACGUCCUCAUUGACCUCCUUCCUUUAAGUAGAGAACCAGAUGCGACUAUUUCAAAUAUUUAUUUGAGGAUCUGUCAGGGUCGCCACUUAAUGGGGAAGGAAGAAAUAUCAGCAUUGUAUUUCUGUCUUUUCCCAGACAUGAACAUCUGCCAUUAAGAGAGAUGAAUGAAGUGCAUAAAGAACUUUUUUUAAAGACACAAAUCUCAUACCCAAAAAAUUAGAAUC